rnacentral:rRNA from 1 species
CCUACGGGAGGCAGCAGUGAGGAAUAUUGGUCAAUGGGCGCGAGCCUGAACCAGCCAAGUAGCGUGAAGGAUGACUGCCCUACGGGUUGUAAACUUCUUUUAUAAAGGAAUAAAGAGAGGCAAGUGUGGCUUUUUGUAUGUACUUUAUGAAUAAGGAUCGGCUAACUCCGUGCCAGCAGACGCGGUAAUACGGAGGAUCCGAGCGUUAUACGGAUUUAUUGGGGUUAAAGGGAGCGUAGACGGGUUGUUAAGUCAGUUGUGAAAGUUUGCGGCUCAACCGUAAAAUUGCAAUUGAUACUGGCAGUCUUGAGUACAGUUGAGGUAGGCGGAAUUCGUGGUGUAGCGGUGAAAUGCUUAGAUAUCACGAAGAACUCCGAUUGCGAAGGCAGCUUACUAACCUGCCACUGACAUUGAUGCUCGAAAGUGUGGGUAUCAAACAGGAUUAGAUACCCGGGUAGUC